rnacentral:rRNA from 1 species
UCUUAUGUACAUGCUUACAACAUAGUUAAUGCAUCGGAUCCCAUUAGAUCUCUGCAGUUAAUCACACUCAGGAUAGAGUUGUACUGGGAUGGGUGAUCACCUAGGAAGUCCUAGUGUUUUAGAU